rnacentral:snRNA from 1 species
GUGCUUGCUUUGAUGGCACAUAAACUAAACUUAGAACGAUACAGAAAAGAUUAGCUUGGCC